rnacentral:lncRNA from 1 species
AGGCGAGGCGCCGCCUGCGCUCCUGUCCUGGACCAAUGGCGCACAGAGUAGCCUUAUCACGCUCAUCCAUGGCUGACCAAUAGCGCACCUCUGCCCGGCUCACAUGACGUCUUUCUGAGCGCUUCCCACUCCGCUCAGCUCUCAAUCCCGGCGAACACAGGCAUCACUGAGGACCUGAAGCCGGCGUCAUCGGACGUGCUUUGCCUCACCGCUGGUCUGCGCGGUUGUUUAUCUUUACGCAAAGUUUACUGACGAAGACGAGCGUCUGUGUCCGUGAGCGCACAGACUUCUGCAAAACGAAGAGACGCGCGGAGACGCAGAGGCGACGCAACAACGCCCUUAACUUAUUGAAGGGGAACGUCAUUUAAAGUUGGCACGGGAGGACGCAGCAAUAGUCACAGAUGGAUGGAAAAGAAGCCCAAACCACCUCCAAACCAAACCAAUGACUGGAAAACACAAGAGUAAAUAUAGUAUGAGGUCCAGACACGGAGUGAGACACUACCACACAAAUACACACACACACACACACACACAGAAUGGCACCUUGAGUCUGUCUGUGGUCUACCGCCUCGCUGCCACUGGCACAAACAAAUGUCACGGUCAGCAGAUAAAGACGAAUGGACACGGUUCUAGUUGUAAGGAAAUGGAGGAAGUAUUCACACACACACACACACACACACACACACACACACACACAACGUUUCAUAGGCAGAAAAGUGUGAGCAGGCAAAGCAUUAAGUCCGCCUGCUAAACAGAUCACGUCUCAGUGUGAUAUCUGCAGACAGAGGAGGUGGGUUCGUAGCUGCACCUUUUACAGCCGCCUCGCUGGGAUUCUUUCUACAUUUCAAACUAUAUUUUAAAGACAUUUUGCAUUAAUGCAUAAGCAGACACUAUAUGUGCAUCUUUUUUUUUUUUUAAAUGUAUUCAUACAUUUGUAAUUUUACUUUCCUCACGUAUUUGAAUAUACAACCUGUACACAGAUGUCAUGUUGCAGAGACGGCUUCUUACACAUUCUGAAACAUUAUCAGAAUGGUGUUUAAGUAACAAAAUGCAUUAAAUUAUACAGUUGUGUCUGAUGAAAUUGAUAUAGUGAAAUGUAAUUUUUUUUUAUUUGAAUUAGGACAUUACAUAUUAAUCAACGUGUCAGCGUCUACAUAAAUAGCUACAUUUAAUCUGUUGUCUAAGACAGGUAGACAUGUGAUAUAACAUACAGUUGAAAAAUAACAUUUAACAUAUAGUUAAGCAACAUGGCACAAUGAGACAAACAUACCACAUGUAUGAUUUAGAAUAAAAAAACAACAGUCAGGAGUUAAAAGAGACCC